GCUGCUUGCGCGGCGCCUUCCCGCCCGUCGACUUACGCGCCGUCUGCUUCGUGCGCGCCAUAGCCGAAUUGCUCCCUUAAACCAAACCUGAACAAAGAAAAAUGCAGCUCGCGCCCGGCUCUGCCUCAUAUUUAUAUCCCACGCUCUUUCCCCAUUGGUUGAUCGAAAGAGUGACUCUGAUUGGACCGAUUUGAACGACGCCGUCGACAAAAGGGCCCGAGAUCUAUUGCAUCUGAUAUUUUCGCGACCAAGGGAAUAUUAACGUAUUCGAACUAUUACUGCAACAG